rnacentral:lncRNA from 1 species
UUUUCAGUAAGUGGGGAAACAAUGCUGGUUUACUUUCUCUCUUCGAACUUUUCUGCCUCUCACAUUUGUUUGACAGACCUAAUGCUGACAGUUUUCUAAGAUUCAUUACUGAAAUUUAACUAAAUUUAACACAGCACAUGAAGAAAAGAACCCAAUAUUACACUUUCAUUCACUACAUUAGACUUUCAGAAUUCACUACCAAGCAUAUCUUUUAACAUACGUGUUACAUAUGAAGGAAGCAGACUGCUGCCUAUUUCCUCAUUUAUUAAUAUAUUCAGUCAUUUAUUCAACAAAUGUCGAACAUUAUUGAGCAUCUAGCACGUACUAUAUUUGGGCCAAGAAAUGCAGUGAACAAUUCCUACUGUCAUGGUCCCUGCCUUCUAAUAAUACACAAAUAAACAACACACACAAACAACAUUCUAAUUCUACAUAUAUAAUUAAUUGCAAUUGCAAUAAAUACUAUAAAAGUAUAGGGGCCACGAAAGUGUAUAAUGGGGGUGUGAAUCUGAGAGAUCAGGAGAUGCUUCCCUCAGGAAGUGACAUUUAAGGUGGAACAUGAUGAAUAAGGAGGGUUCAGGAGAAGCUUCCCUCAGGAAGUGACAUGUAAGGUGGAACAUGAUGAAUAAGGAGGGCUCAGGAGAAGCUUCCCUCAGGAAGUGACAUGUAAGGUGGAACAUGAUGAAUAAGGAGGGUUCAGGAGAAGUUUCCCUCAGGAAGUCACAUGUAAGGUGGAACAUGAUGAAUAAGGAGGGUUCAGGAGAAGCUUUCCUCAGGAAGUCACAUUUAAGGUGGAACAUGAUGAAUAAGGAGGGUUCAGGAGAAGCUUCCCUCAGGAAGUGACAUGUAAGAUGGAACAUGAUGAAUAAGAUGUAAGGUGGAACAUGAUGAAUAAGGAGGGUUCAGGAGAAGCUUCCCUCAGGAAGUGACAUGUAAGGUGGAACAUGAUGAAUAAGGAGGGUUCAGGAGAAGUUUCCCUCAGGAAGUGACAUGUAAGGUGGAACAUGAUGAAUAAGGAGGGUUCAGGAGAAGCUUCCCUCAGGAAGUGACGUUUAAGGUGGAACAUGAUGAAUAAGGAGGGUUCAGGAGAAGCUUCCCUCAGGAAGUGACAUGUAAGGUGGAACAUGAUGAAUAAGGAGGGUUCAGGAGAAGCUUUCCUCAGGAAGUGACAUUUAAGGUGGAACAUGAUGAAUAAGGAGGGUUCAGGAGAAGCUUCCCUCAGGAAGUGACAUGUAAGGUGGAACAUGAUGAAUAAGGAGGGUUCAGGAGAAGCUUCCCUCAGGAAGUGACAUGUAAGAUGGAACAUGAUGAAUAAGAUGUAAGGUGGAACAUGAUGAAUAAGGAGGGUUCAGGAGAAGCUUCCCUCAGGAAGUGACAUGUAAGGUGGAACAUGAUGAAUAAGGAGGGCUCAGGAGAAGCUUCCCUCAGGAAGUGACAUGUAAGAUGGAACAUGACGAAUAAGAUGUAAGGUGGAACAUGAUGAAUAAGGAGGGUUCAGGACACGCUUCCCUCAGGAAGUGACAUGUAAGGUGGAACAUGAUGAAUAAGGAGGGCUCAGGAGAAGCUUCCCUCAGGGAGUGACAUGUAAGAUGGAACAUGAUGAAUAAGAUGUAAGGUGGAACAUGACGAAUAAGGAGGUUUCAGGAGAAGCUUCCCUCAGGGAGUGACAUGUAAGAUGGAACAUGAUGAAUAAGAUGUAAGGUGGAACAUGAAUAAGGAGGGCUCAGGAGAAGCUUCCCUCAGGGAGUGACAUGUAAGAUGGAACAAGAUGAAUAAGAUGUAAGGUGGAACAUGACGAAUAAGGAGGUUUCAGGAGAAGCUUCCCUCAGGAAGUGACAUGUAAGACGGAACAUGAUGAAUAAGAUGUAAGGUGGAACAUGAUGAAUAAGGAGGGUUCAGGAGAAGCUUCCCUCAGGAAGUGACAUGUAAGAUAGAACAUGAUGAAUAAAGAGGGCUCAGGAGAAGCUUCCCUCAGGAAGUGACAUGUAAGAUGGAACAUGACGAAUAAGAUGUAAGGUGGAACAUGAUGAAUAAGGAGGGUUCAGGAGAAGCUUCCCUCAGGAAGUGACAUGUAAGGUGGAACAUGAUGAAUAAGGAGGGCUGAGGAGAAGCUUCUCUCAGGGAGUGACAUGUAAGAUGGAACAUGAUGAAUAAGAUGUAAGGUGGAACAUGAUGAAUAAGGAGGGUUCAGGAGAAGCUUCCCUCAGGAAGUGACAUGUAAGGUGGAACAUGAUGAAUAAGGAGGGCUCAGGAGAAGCUUCCCUCAGGAAGUGACAUGUAAGAUGGAACAUGAUGAAUAAGAUGUAAGGUGGAACAUGAUGAAUAAGGAGGGUUCAGGAGACGCUUCCCUCAGGAAGUGACAUGUAAGGUGGAACAUGAUGAAUAAGGAGGGCUCAGGAGAAGCUUCCCUCAGGAAGUGACAUGUAAGAUGGAACAUGAUGAAUAAGAUGUAAGGUGGAACAUGAUGAAUAAGGAGGGUUCAGGAGAAGCUUCCCUCAGGAAGUGACA